UUCCCUUAUGAUCACCGAAGUUAAGCAAAGUGAAGCCUGGGCAGUAGCUAGAUGGGUGACCACUUGGGAAUACCAGGUGCUGUAAG